GACGUAUUGUGCAGAUAUGGCCUUCCAGCACUACAUUUACCCAUUAAUCUCAGCAUAGCCCUGGGUGAAAGCUUUAUUACUCCGUACCACACCGAGCACACACAGGCCGUCAAUACCCCAUCCAACCCCAAGAUUUGAAAAAUGGCAGAAAAAAAAAAGAAACUCACAAGAGUGUUACAAAAUCUUGUAUUAAUCAUCUCACUCACUUUCAAUAUAAUGAUAUGAAAUAUAGCCGUGACUUUUGGUGAGACUGAGGAGAUGGGUAAUAAAUACAUUUUGAAAUCACAAGGGUGAUCUUACACUUUAACAACAUUUGGAAACUGUACAUGAGCAAAUAACUGCAUUGCAACCGUCAGACUGUUUGCAUUGAAUCCUUCGUAUACCUGGAAGCUUAAAUACAUACAACAAACGUGCCAACUUCAGAAAAGACAAAGUUUAGUUUUUCUUAAAAAAUAUGCAUUGCAUGGCGACAUUAACUAACCAAAAAUAGUUCUCUCUGCACUCUUUUUAUACAGAAAAAAAAAACAAAAAAAACCAGGCCCCAAAUCUUGCAUGCUUUUUACAACGAAAGUAUUCAGGACUUUGCGUGCAAAAAAAAUAAUAAAAAAAAAUUAGCUGAAGGCAAUUUUUUUCUUCUUUUUGAAAAGGAUACUUCCAAUAUCUGCCUAAAUACACACAGGGGGCUCCACGAACCAUGUGAGUGCCGGGCGUGUAACUCAUUGAGACUCCGUCCAUGCACAGCCCUUGGUCUCAAAACGUCAAGGGAGGAAGAUUUUUAUUUUUCGGUUAAAGGUCCUAUUUUCUCUCUAUUCCUCCCAGAGGAAUACACAUUUGCCCUCAACCAUUUUGUAGCCAGAGGGAUCUGACAAAAACAGAAGCCCCUAUCUGGCAACAACUGGAAGCAAAGAAAUACAAAAAAAAUAAAAAUGUGCAUUGCAAACUCUGACAAUUUUUUUUAUAUAUUUGUUUCCUACAAAAUUAGUGUUCUUGGAACGAUGUGCAAAUUUCAGACUUUUUGCAUGACUCAUGGACACAUUCACACAAAAAGAAAAGGCGAGCCAGGUGUCCUUGCAGUAAACGUACCAAUCCAGAGAUAAUGCGUCUUUAGAUGUUAAACUGUGAGCUGUGAUAGGCCGGCAGCAGAGAGAUGGGAUUCAGGCAAAAAUAGGCAACGUUGCCGGUUUGGUCUAAAUUUGACAAUUCCGCCACUGGCUUACAGUUUCAUGAUUUAGACAACACAGAGCGGCUCUCGUGGGUUAUUUAACCCCUUAAGGACCAAACUUCUGGAAUAAAAGGCAAUCAUAACAUGUCACACGUCAUGUGUCCUUAAGGGGUUAAAAGCAAAAAGGGCUAACUGUACAUUAAAAGACAGCUUUAAUGCUGCUGAACUACAACCCCCAUGAGUCUCUGCCAGCAACCAGCAGCCGCUGUUACAAGUCAAGUGCCGCAGUACAGUAAUAAGGGCAAUUACUGACUAUUCACCUUUGAGGUAUCACGGCAUGACAAUCCUACUCUGAGACUGCAGCUCCUAUCAUGCUCAUCCAGCUUUGUGCAACAAACGCAAGAUCUCAUUCCAAUUAAAAAGGACCCAGUGAUGGAUUCUGUGUAUAAUUAUUUAAUUCUCUUCCAUAAAGUGUGUGAGGAUACAGGAAAUUCUUCAACUGGUUUAGAAGUGAAGUUCAGCUGACUAUUGAAACAAAAGUCUCAUUAUCCUCAGCAGUUUUGGGUCCAGAUGUGAAACAAAUCAGAUGGCAGCUUAGUUUGCAGAGCCUGCAGUCUCAGACCAAGUUCGCAUUAACCCCAUAAGUGCCAGGAGGGUUGACACAUAUCCCUUUAGAACAGCAAGAGAUCCACUUUGUGCUGACGUCAAUUCCCAGUUACUUUGUAACAGGACAGCUCAAGGCUCAAGGCCAAUACUUAUCAUAUAAUACUGAAUAUAGCUCCCAUCAUCCUAAACCGUGCUGUGCCUGGGUUGCAUAGGGGACAAAAGGCAGCACUAACUGCCUGUCCUGCAUUUUCAAUGUCUGGCUUAUUGACCCACCGUGCAGGAAUGAAGAGCCACAAUUUAGGAAGUGCUCCAUUUAAAAGGCCAAGGGGAAACAGACUACGUUUCUUAUCCUGGAUAAUGAGAAAUGUAGUCAAACCUCACAUCAAUACCAGACACUGCUUCCUUUAAAAGAACUGCCUUCCAGGGGUGGUGGUGGGUGGGGGAGGGCAAUCCCCCCUUUUAUUCACCCCAUGCCCCCUGGAAUAAUUUGAGGAGAGCAAGCGAGGAGUGUCACCAAGCCCCGGAGAGUGCAGUGCUCCAGCAGGGAGCACUCCAUAAUUGAAACCCUAGUUAUUCAAUGAAAUGCCAGCAAUCUACCUAAAAAAAAAGCACAAAGGUUGAAUUUUUGGUAAAUCUCCAAACAGACCCACGACUGUAUAAACCACUAUGGAUUAAAGCACCAGAGAUAAGGCAAAUCGAUAUCGAAAUAACAGCCAGCAUAAGGGAUACAUAAACACAACUUCUAGUAUCUGUCACAGGACAACGAGAGCAGACAAAUAUCAGAAAGACGAUUUUUAGACGGGAGCAAAAGAGACAAAGAAAGGCACUGCCGCUUUAAAUAAACCUUCACAGCCUUCACACGAGUAUAACACACAUAACCUGUAUAAAUAUAUCCCCUUUCAUUUUAAUUUUCAGCCCUGCAAUCAAUACAGCGCUAAUGGGAAAUGCAUUAUCAAACAAUCAAAAAAUAUUGAAAGUUAAAGUGUUCGUUUUAUUUAUUUUUUCGGUUUCAACACGGACCAAAUAGAAAUUAUCUACAAAAUGACCAAAUACUAUGGUUUUAUAUUUAAAAAAAAUAUAUUUACAUAACACAUGGUAGUUAAUGAGAAAGUGUUUAUGGUUACCAGCCACAGAAUAUCAUGAAAAAUAUAUAAAAUAAGAGAAUUACGAUCAGAUCAUCCGGCCAUUCUUACUGGUGAGUGGAAUUACCAGGGGCGAGAGGAGCUUAAGGAACCACUUCCCAGAACCCUUUGCUGCAAGUAACGCACAGUGAUUAGUUCCUCUCUCGUCUCGCACAGAGAAGACAGAACGUCUCGGUAAUCCGCUCUCCAACCAUUCAUUUCAAACUCAAACCUCGUAACGCACUUUUUAAGGAACAGCAAAUGGAACCGACCCUUAAAAUCAGGGGGUGUCGGACUGCAGACCCCAAGAUGUUUGUGGACCCAAAAGUCAGUAUUUGGCAAAGGAUUAUGGAAAUUGCAGUCUAAAUAUAUCAACACCCGGUGCUUAACAUAACCUGUGUUAAAAAGAACAGUCGCUGCCUUUAGCAAAGAUAGGAGUUACGGGAUGGACAGAGAAGGGAAUGGAUUUAUGGGGGUCUGUACCCGGAUUACUCAAUAAAUGUAUUAAUGGGGGUCCGUACCCGUGUAAUUCAAUAAAUGGAUUAAUGGGGGUCCGUACCAGUGUUAUUAAAUAAAUGGAUUAAUGAGGGUCCGUACCCGGGUUACUCAAUGAAUGAAUUUAUGGUGGUCUGUACCCGGGUUACUGAAUGAAUGGAUUAAUGGGGGUCCGUACCUGUGUUAUUAAAUAAAUGGAUUAAUGGGGGUCCGUACCAGUGUUAUUCGGUAAAUGGAUUAAUGGGGGUCCAUACCCGGGUUACUCAAUUAAUGGAUUAAUGGGGGUCCGUACCCAGGUUACUCAAUAAAUGGAUUAAUGGGGGUCCGUACCCGGGUUACUCAAUGAAUGGAUUUAUGGGGGUCCAUACCCAGGUUACUCAAUGAAUGGAUUUAUGGGGGUCCGUACCCAGGUUACUCAAUGAAUGGAUUUAUGGGGGUCCGUACCCGGGUUACUCAAUGAAUGGAUUUAUGGGGGUCCGUACCCAGGUUACUCAAUGAAUGGAUUUAUGGGGGUCCGUACCCAGGUUACUCAAUAAAUGGAUUUAUGGGGGUUUGUACCCGGGUUACUCAAUGAAUGGAUUUAUGGGGGUCCGUACCCGGUUACUCAAUGAAUGGAUUUAUGGGGGUCGGUACCCUGGUUACUCAAUGAAUGGAUUUAUGGGGGUCCGUACCCAGGUUACUCAAUGAAUGGAUUUAUGGGGGUCCGUACCCGGGUUACUCAAUAAAUGGAUUUAUGGGGGUUUGUACCCAGGUUACUCAAUGAAUGGAUUUAUGGGGGUCCGUACCCGGUUACUCAAUGAAUGGAUUUAUGGGGGUCGGUACCCAGGUUACUCAAUGAAUGGAUUUAUGGGGGUCUGUACCCAGGUUACUCAAUGAAUGGAUUUAUGGGGGUCCGUACCCAGGUUACUCAAUGAAUGGAUUUAUGGGGGUUUGUACCCGGGUUACUCAAUGAAUGGAUUUAUGGGGGUCCGUACCCAGGUUACUCAAUGAAUGGAUUAAUGGGGGUCUGUACCCGGUUACUCAAUAAAUGGAUUAAUGGGGGUCCGUACCCGUGUAAUUCAAUAAAUGGAUUUAUGGGGGUCCGUACCCAGGUUACUCAAUGAAUGGAUUUAUGGGGGUCCGUAACCCAGGUUACUGAGUAAAUGGAUUUAUGGGGGUCCGUACCCAGGUUACUCAAUGAAUGGAUUUAUGGGGGUUUGUACCCAGGUUACUCAAUGAAUGGAUUUAUGGGGGUCUUUACCCAAUAAAUGGAUUUAUGGGGGUCGUACCCGGUUACUCAACAAUGGAUUUAUGGGGUCCGUAAUUCAGGUUACUCAAGAAUGGAUUUAUGGGGGUCUGUACCCAGGUUACUCAAUGAAUGGAUUUUAUGGGGGUCCGUACCAGGUUACUCAAUGAAUGGAUGGCGGGGGGUCUAAAACGUUACCAAUGAAUGGAUUUAUGGGGUCGGCACCGUUACCAAUAAAUGGAUUAAUGGGGUCUGUACCCGGGUUACUCAAUGAAUGGAUUUAUGGGGGUCGGUACCCAGGUUACUCAAUGAAUGGAUUUAUGGGGGUCGGUACCCAGGUUACUCAAUGAAUGGAUUUAUGGGGGUCUGUACCCAGGUUACUCAAUGAAUGGAUUUAUGGGGGUCUGUACCCAGGUUACUCAAUGAAUGGAUUUAUGGGGGUCCGUACCCAGGUUACUCAAUGAAUGGAUUUAUGGGGGUCUGUACCCGGGUUACUCAAUGAAUGGAUUUAUGGGGGUCCGUACCCAGGUUACUCAAUGAAUGGAUUUAUGGGGGUCCGUACCCGGGUUACUCAAUGAAUGGAUUUAUGGGGGUCCGUACCCAGGUUACUCAAUGAAUGGAUUUAUGGGGGUCCGUACCCGGGUUACUCAAUGAAUGGAUUUAUGGGGGUCCGUACCCUGGUUACUCAAUGAAUGGAUUUAUGGGGGUCUGUACCCGGGUUACUCAAUAAAUGGAUUUAUGGGGGUCCGUACCCAGGUUACUCAAUGAAUGGAUUUAUGGGGGUCUGUACCCGGGUUACUCAAUGAAUGGAUUUAUGGGGGUCCGUACCCGGGUUACUCAAUGAAUGGAUUUAUGGGGGUCUGUACCCGGGUUACUCAAUGAAUGGAUUUAUGGGGGUCCGUACCCAGGUUACUCAAUGAAUGGAUUUAUGGGGGUCUGUACCCAGGUUACUCAAUGAAUGGAUUUAUGGGGGUCCGUACCCAGGUUACUCAAUGAAUGGAUUUAUGGGGGUCCGUACCCAGGUUACUCAAUAAAUGGAUUUAUGGGGGUCCGUACCCAGGUUACUCAAUGAAUGGAUUUAUGGGGGUCCGUACCCAGGUUACUCAAUGAAUGGAUUUAUGGGGGUCCGUACCCAGGUUACUCAAUGAAUGGAUUUAUGGGGGUCCGUACCCAGGUUACUCAAUGAAUGGAUUUAUGGGGGUCGUACCCAGGUUACUCAAUGAAUGGAUUUAUGGGGGUCGUACCCGGUUACUCAAUGAAUGGAUUUAUGGGGGUCUGUACCCGGGUUACUCAAUGAAUGGAUUUAUGGGGGUCCGUACCCAGGUUACUCAAUGAAUGGAUUAAUGGGGGUCUGUACCCGGUUACUCAAUAAAUGGAUUAAUGGGGGUCCGUACCCGUGUAAUUCAAUAAAUGGAUUUAUGGGGGUCCGUACCCAGGUUACUCAAUGAAUGGAUUUAUGGGGGUCCGUAACCCAGGUUACUGAGUAAAUGGAUUUAUGGGGGUCCGUACCCAGGUUACUCAAUGAAUGGAUUUAUGGGGGUCCGUACCCAGGUUACUCAAUGAAUGGAUUUAUGGGGGUCCGUACCCAGGUUACUCAAUAAAUGGAUUUAUGGGGGUUUGUACCCGGGUUACUCAAUGAAUGGAUUUAUGGGGGUCCGUACCCGGUUACUCAAUGAAUGGAUUUAUGGGGGUCGGUACCCUGGUUACUCAAUGAAUGGAUUUAUGGGGGUCUGUAACCCAGGUUACUCAAUGAAUGGAUUUAUGGGGGUCUGUAACCCAGGUUACUGAGUAAAUGGAUUUAUGGGGGUCCGUACCCAGGUUACUCAAUGAAUGGAUUUAUGGGGGUUUGUACCCGGGUUACUCAAUGAAUGGAUUUAUGGGGGUCCGUACCCAGGUUACUCAAUGAAUGGAUUUAUGGGGGUCUGUACCCGGGUUACUCAAUGAAUGGAUUUAUGGGGGUCGGUACCCUGGUUACUCAAUGAAUGGAUUAAUGGGGGUCCGUACCCAGGUUACUCAAUGAAUGGAUUUAUUGGGGUCCGUACCCGGGUUACUCAAUGAAUGGAUUUAUGGGGGUCCGUACCCAGGAUACUCAAUGAAUGGAUUUAUGGGGGUCCGUACCCAGGUUACUCAAUAAAUGGAUUAAUGGGGGUCUGUACCCGGGUUACUCAAUGAAUGGAUUUAUGGGGGUCCGUACCCAGGUUACUCAAUGAAUGGAUUUAUGGGGGUCCGUACCCAGGUUACUCAAUAAAUGGAUUAAUGGGGGUCUGUACCCGGGUUACUCAAUGAAUGGAUUUAUGGGGGUCCGUACCCAGGUUACUCAAUAAAUGGAUUUAUGGGGGUCGGUACCCAGGUUACUCAAUGAAUGGAUUUAUUGGGGUCCGUACCCAGGUUACUCAAUGAAUGGAUUUAUGGGGGUCUGUACCCGGGUUACUCAAUGAAUGGAUUUAUGGGGGUCGGUACCCAGGUUACUCAAUGAAUGGAUUUAUGGGGGUCUGUACCCAGGUUACUCAAUGAAUGGAUUUAUGGGGGUCUGUACCCAGGUUACUCAAUGAAUGGAUUUAUGGGGGUCUGUACCCAGGUUACUCAAUGAAUGGAUUUAUGGGGGUCCGUACCCAGGUUACUCAAUGAAUGGAUUUAUGGGGGUCUGUACCCGGGUUACUCAAUAAAU
rnacentral:lncRNA from 1 species